rnacentral:rRNA from 1 species
AUGAAACGCUAGCGGCAGGGCCUAAUACAUGCAAGUCGGACGGGAUUGUGGAGCUUGCUUCACAUGGAUGAGAGUGGCGCACGGGUGCGUAAACACGUAUGUAACCUACCUUGUUCAGGGGGAUAGCCUCUCGAAAGAGAGAUUAAGACCGCAUAAAAUCACAAUGUGGCAUCACAAAAUGAUCAAAUAUUUAUAGGAAACAAGAUGGGCAUGCGGAACAUUAGCUAGUUGGUGUAGGUAACGGCUCACCAAGGCGACGAUGUUUAGGGGGAUCUGAGAGGGAUGACCCCCCACAACUGGUAACUGAGACACGGACCAGACUCCUACGGGAGGCAGCAGUAAGGAAUAUUGGUCAAUGGACGGAAGUCUGAACCAGCCAUGCCGCGUGCAGGGAAGACGGCCCUAUGGGUUUGUAAACUGCUUUUUACAGGGGAAAUAAAACCUCGGUACGUGUACCGAGCUGAAUGUAUUCUGAGAAUAAGGAUCGGCUAACUCCGUGCCAGCAGCCGCGGUAUAAUACGGAGGAUCCGAGCGUUUAUAUCCGGAAUUUAUUGGGUUUUAUAAAAGGGUUGCGUAGGUGGGCCUGUUAAGUCAGGGGUGAAAGACGGUAGCUCAACUAUCGCAGUGCCCUUGAUACUGAUGGGCUUAGAAUGAACUAGAGGUAGGCGGAAAUGUGACAAGUAGCGGUGAAAUGCAUAGAUAUGUCACAGAACACCAAUUGCGAAGGCAGCUUACUAUGGUUUUAUUGACAACUGAGGCACGAAAGCGUGGGGAUCAAACAGGAUUAGAUACCCUGGUAGUCCACGCCCUAAAACGAUGAAUACCUCGAUGGUUGGCGAUAUACGGUCAGCGUCUAAAGCGAAAAGCGUUAAGUAUUCCACCUGGGGAGUACGCCCGCAAGGGUUGAAACUCAAAGGAAUUGACGGGGGGCCCGCACAAGCGGAGGAGCAUGUGGUUUAAAUUCGAUGAUACGCGAGGAAACCUUACCCGGGCUUGAAAGUUAGUGAAUGUGGCAGAGACGCCACAGUCCUUCGGGACACGAAACUAGGUGCUGCAUGGCUGUCGUCAGCUCGUGCCGUGAGGUGUUGGGUUAAGUUCCCGCAACGAGCGCAACCCCUAUGUUUAGUUGCCAGCAUUUUAGGGUGGGGACUCUAAACAAGACCUGCCUAUGCAAAUAGAGAGGAAGGAGGGGACGACGUCAAGUCAUCAUGGCCCCUUACGUCCGGGGCUACACACGUGCUACAAUGGAUGGUACAGAGGGGCAGCUACCUGGUAACAGGAUGCCAAUCUCCAAAAGCCAUUCACAGUUCGGAUCGGGGUCUGCAACUCGACCCCGUGAAAGUUGGAUUCGCUAGUAAUCGCAGAUCAGCAAUGCUGCGGUGAAUACGUUCCCGGGCCUUGUACACACACCGCCCGUCAAGCCAUGGAAGCUGGGGGUGCCUGAAGCCGGUAACCGCAAGGAGCCGUCUAGGGUAAAACCGGUAACUGGGGCU